CAUGCUCAGCCAUCUAUUCUGGACAUUUUUUUGACUCCAGCUCCACGCCUAUGUAAUACUCCUUUUUGACUCCAGCUCCAGCAGCAUAUUUGCAAAAUUUUCACACCCGAACACCUUCAUUUGGUUUCAGAUUUCAAGCAUAUAAAUUACUCAUUUCAUACCCAUUCCAUACUUAAACGUUUUCAUCAUUCUCUGCCAAAGAAAUUUUCAAGUAUCAGUUAAUUCUUGCUUCAUUCAACUGCAACCUUCAACCAAAGCAAACAUUAAGGUAUUCUGUUUCUUUUCAAUUUACUUCCUCCUGUUACAUGAUGCACACCCACAGAAAUCAUAUUCAUUAGAUUGAAAUGCAUCAUACGAAGGGAGUAGCAUAACUAGUUACUUCUAUAGAAUCAAACACACUAUGACUUACACAUGAAACUCAAAUCGUGAAUCACCAUUUACGACGAAGUUAAUGAUGUCAAAAAGGAGACUAGUAUAUGAC
rnacentral:lncRNA from 1 species